GGUGAAGUGGCGAACGGGCGUUUAAUGCAUCGGAACGUGCCCAAUGGUGGGGGAUAGCCCGGCGAAAGCCGACUUUACCGCAUACGACCUACGGGUGAAAGUUGGGGACCGCAAGGCCUCGCGCUAGUAAGGCCGAUGUCAGAUUAGGUUGCUUGUGGGGUAAGUCCCCUACCAAGCCGACGAUCAGAGGCUGGUCUGAGAGGACGACCAGCCACACAGGGACUGAGACACGGCCCAGACUCCUACGGGAGGCAGCAGUGGGGCUCGUGGACAAUGGGCGCAAGCCUGAUCCAGCCAUGCCGCGUGCGGGAAGAAGGCCUUCGGCGAUUAAACCGCUUUUGUCAGGGAAGAAACGCUCCGGGUGAACCCCGGGGUAAUGACGGUACCUGAAGAAUAAGCACCGGCUAACUACGUGCCAGCAGUCGCGGUAAUACGUAGGGAAAAAGCGUUAAUCGGAAUUACUGGGCGUAAAGCGUGCGCAGGCGGUCUUAAGACAGA
rnacentral:rRNA from 1 species